rnacentral:misc_RNA from 1 species
UAGUGCCUGUCCGUAUAAAGUGGUUAGUUUUUGCAGUGCCAUUUUUCUUCUUAUCUUCUUAUGAUUGAAUUGAAAAUGAAAUCAAAUACCUCAGUAAGAUGUUAUGCAAUUUCAAGUACAAGGAAUUAUCCAUUUCUAGUAGCAUUUUUUUUUAGUUUUCUGAUGUAAAAAUAGAGAUGUUGAUUCUAACAGAAUGUCCAUAAAUUAGUGCAUUGUGAGACCAUAUUCGUUGCGUGAUUGAAAUGGCCGAUGGCCUGCUGCUUGGCUUCUUGCUAAUGGCCAUCGUUAGCUUUUUGCUAAAAAAGGGAUAAUGGCAGUCACUUUAGUUGCAGUCCUGGUAUUAAGCGAGUUGCGAAAGAAGGAUUGCAUUGCCACCUGAUAGAACAAUCUACCCCCUAUUCACACAGAAGUGUGCAGAUCCCUCAGUAGUUCCAAUGUCAGGGUUGUCUUAUGUUAUGCUUGCAGAUCCAAAUAUGC